GAUCCAUGAAAGAAGCUUGUUAUGUUUUUCUUUCCCCCCCACCCUUUUUUUUUGAAGAGUUUGAUGCACAAAGGAACAGGAGAGUGGAAAAAAAAAAAAAACUUUGGAAAUAGGCGCCCUCUGUCCGAAUUGGACUUCGGUUCGUUAGGAAGGCCUCAAGAGGUGUACUUCUUUUUGUUGGCUUUUGUUUUGUAUAUUUCUGGAUUUCGCUUUUUUUUUUUUUUGAAGGGGUGAGAGUUGCUUGACCUUCUGAAUAAGUGUCUGCAGAAACUAGUUGCAGGGGAUCUUAUACCCGGUUUCAGUUCCAUAUUUUUAUUCUUCGGCUCAACUAGCUUACUUUGCAUGAGUGACAUUUCAAAAUAACUGUUUUUCUUGCACUUGGCUUUAGCUCCUCUUUCUUUAAGCUAACUUCACUCAGGAUGAAUGGAUGAGUUGUGCAUAUAAAGUUGAUUCUGCAUGUAAUGGUGCACUUAACAAUAUAAUGGUAGCUGUAAGGAAAAGAUGGAUGACGAGACAGAGGUUAUGCACCACUUCACAGUUGUUGCCAGUGAAACAGCACUACAGUAAGUCAAAUUUAAGGUCACUUACAGACAGCAAAAAAUGACCUAGUGUAUAGUAAUUCUUAAUCCUUCAAGUGCAUCAGCUAAAGAACUAAAACAAUAUAAAACGUUAACAUUUGCCCAAUUUUUUAUUUUUUAUUUUUUAAAUUAUAGUAAAGUGUAAAAUGCCUAAAAACUCUUUAAUAUGUGCCUUACAGUUUCUACUAUAAGCUUUUAACAUUUGCCAACUAGAUUAUCAUUUAUUGGACGAAGGGUGGGUAUCAUCCUAAUGCCCUUAAGGGGUCUUCAGAGAUCUGCUCAAUGUUAAAGACUUUAAAAAAAGGGUUAAAAUUUUUAUUGAUGGUGUUGAUUCCCAAAACAGAACAACCCCAUAAUCUGUCUCUGCUCCACAUUGUACUAAUCAAUCAAUCUUGCUCAAUCUAUUUAGUCCGGUCUCCUGGUCCAUAGAAACAAGACAAGCAAACAGCAAAA
ensembl:lncRNA